GCCCUUAACGGGUAACCAAGGACGGGUUUGGGUAGUAAAAAUGCACAACGGAUUCGGGUUGAGGCACGUUAUCCUUUGUCAUCUCGGUGAGGGCAAAAAUUUCCGUCGCUGAGAAAAUGUCUUCGAGAUACCGGCGUUUGAUAAAAGUUUCAGUGCUGGUGUCUCCAAUUUUCUCAGUUAAUCAUUUACAACAAUCUGGAGGAGCCAUAAACUUCUGCUCAGCUUCGCAUCACUCAGUCGAUAAUGAAAUAAGUAACAGGAGGAUUUUGGACAAAUGGUUUCAUUCUCAGAGUUAUUUGAGUUCUUCAAAGCUGGGAUAGCAACGGGUUGGAUUUUUGCAAUAAGGGUUCAGGUAAUCAUUUACAACUAUCUAGAGGAGCCAUAAACUUCUGCUCACCUUCCUUUUUAAUUCGUGCGCAUUACUCAGUCGAUAAUGAAAUAAGUAAAAGGAGGAUUUUGGACAAAUGAUUUCAUUAUCAGAGUUACUUUCAGGUACCCAACAAUAUCACAAGUGUCAAGUGGGUCUGCUUCUCAUUUGGCUGAUGGUAUAUUGUCUGUCAUCCAUUCCACCUUUGAUGAGAUUCAAGGCCCAGAUUAUUGUUGGUUAAAUAAGGUUAAGGAAAUAAAUAUUGGUUCAAGAAAGAUGGAACCUUUUUGGUCCUUGCCGGGCAAUUCUUUGAGAAUUCUGAAAUAGUUAUCAUGCUUGAAAAGAUCAAGUCACUUCAGCAGAAAUAUCCUGAGCUCUGUGUUAUGGGCUUUCAUUUUGGAAGUUCUGUUGGAUUUGCCACUGUUUAAGCUUACCUUGUUCAAUUGACACUGGCGGAGUACAUUAUGUUCCCUAUUCUAUUGUCAAACAAGAGCCUUUUAGAGGUGAGAGAUUGGAACUCAAAACAGAGAAGAAAGGUGAGAUGAGAAAAGAAAAGAAUGAGAUGAGAAGAGAAUAAAGAAAUGGGAUGAGAAGAGGAUGAGAUUCGAAGAAGGGAAGAGAGUAUAUUAUUGAAUUGAGUCUUGAAUGAAUCCAUACAGGUAUGAGCUGACCCUUUAUUGUUGAACGCUCCAUUCCUAUGCAACAAUUUAGAUUGAGAACUGGGACAUUGCAGCAAUUUAGAUUGAGUGUCCAAAUCAUUGAUUCCUUGCAAUGUAACCAACUACCCUGCAUGCUGGAAAGUAAUUUUUGAUUGCUGAAAAUAAAAAAAAAUGGAAUUAAAUGUCCUCAACCAGUCAACUCCCAAUAUAAUAGCAAAACUCCACAUGUCCAAUAGCUUCAAGUCAAAUACAAAGGAGUGUUACUGCAUUCCCCAUCUAAAGUCAAGACACAUGUUGCUGCUAGAAAUUUUCCUGUCAUCAGCUACUGUCACACAACAUUUGUAGGCCCUUCAACAACAGAUAACUUCAGCGCCCUUGCCACUCUUGCACUCAAGAAACUGUUGGUACUACCACUAUCUAUUAAUAUCAACAAUUCCUUAUUCUUAUACUGCCCAGAUAUCCUUAUGGUAUGAACCCCAUGACUGCCUUCCAUAUCAUGCACUGACAGAGUAACUUUUUCAUAUACAAUAGGGCCAUGAGAGUUUUCUGUUUACAUUGAUGGCCGGGAAAGAAUUUCUCUCCACACUUAAAAUAAGGUCUGGGUUGUCUAAUGGUAUUUGAAUUAGUGGAAUUGGUGGAAGUAAGUUUGGUUGCAGGUUGGUUGACAGAAGACUGACUAGUGGCAUUGAGGAACUACAUGUGCAACAAAAUGGGAAUAUUGACAAUGGGAGUUCUAGUUUGCACAACUUGAAAAGCACUUGUAUGAGGCCAGUUGAGGACUUUUUCUCUUCUCUGCAAAACUUGCUCCUCUACUUACCAGGUAGAGGCUCCUUUUUUUUUUUUUUUCCCUUACCAUGCAGUUAUAUUUCUUUUUAAGGUAUCAUGGAAGCCAAAUUUUAUUGUAUUGGUGUGAAAAAAAUAAAAACAUCUACUUACUUCUAAGACCAAUAUAAAAAGAGGGAAUGCUUAGAGUAAAGUACUAGUCAAAAUAUGUCUUCAACUUAUGAAUUGGAUGGGUAUAUGAUGAUGGUUGAAAAUUUGUUGUACUCAAAUGGUUUGGAGAUUCUUUUUAUGGAGGUGAAACAAGUUUAUCUUAGGUUUGAAAUAAAAAUAGGCCAAUUCUCAAUAAUCAACCUAUUUGAAGUUAAUAAAAAUUGGUCCAUUUGAUACUUUUCAAGAAUGUGGUAAUUUUUUUUUACUUAAUACGAGUAUUUGAUGCAACGUGAAGCUCAAAUAGAAACACAUUCCAUACACGAGUGAAAAAAAUAGAGAAAAUUUUAUAUUGAAUUUUUAUUGAUAAUCACCUAUCUCCCAAUUACAUGUAAAUAAGGGUAUUUAUAGUGUUUUUAGACUCCUAACCUAAUAGGAAUAUAAAUAUACUUUUUAGGAAAUUUAGAUAAACUAAAAUACAAUAAGAAGAUAUAAACUAAAUAAAAAAACUAUGAAGAAAGAGAUGAUUCUCCUUAAUUUCAAUUAAUCUGUAUAUGGGUAUAUAUAUACAAUUGAUUCUUAUAAUUGUGUUCUACUAAUUAGGAAGAAAUCCUAAAUAAGAAAUCUUAAAUAGGAAUACAAAAUAUACAGAGAAAUAAUAUAGUGAUUAACUUUCCAUAACACUUCCCCCUUAAGUUGGAGCAUAGAUGUUAAUCAUGCCUAACUUGUUACAAAUGUAAUCAAUCCUAAUUCUAUUCAGAGCUUUUGUGAAAAUAUCUCCUAACUGCUCUCCAGUUUUGAUGUGUCUUGUUGAGAUGAUCUGUUGUUAAAUCUUUUCAUGAACAAAGUGACAAUUAAUAUCAAUAUGUUUGGUCCGUUCAUGAAACACUGGAUUAGAAGCAAUAUGGAGAGCAGCUUGAUUAUCACACCACAAUUUUGCAGGUAGGGAGGUCUUAAAACCUGUCUCAUCUAGUAAUUGAAGUAUCCACAUUACCUCACAUACUGAUUGUGCCAUAGCUCUGUAUUCCGAUUCAGCACUAGAUCGAGAAACUACACUCCGCUUUUUGUUUCUGCAAGACACCAAAUUUCCUCUAACAAAAAUGCAAUAUCCAGUAGUUGACCUCCUAUCAACCUUAGAUCCAGCCCAGUCGGCAUCUGAAAAACAUUCAACAUUCAAAUGUCAAUGAUUAUCAUAUAACAAACCUCUUCCUAGAGCGCCCUUCAGAUAACACAAGAUUUGUCCUAAGGCUUCCUAAUGAGCAACAGCUGGGGAAGACAUAAACUGACUUACCACACUCACGGCAUAAGUAAUGUCAGGAUGAGUGACUAUAAGGUAGUUCAAUUUUCCUACCAAUCUCUUGUAUCUCUUUGGAUCUUCAAACAACUCACUAUCCCCUGCUAACAGUUGUAAAUUUAGAGUCAUUGGUGCACUGCAAGGUUUAGCGCCUAAUUUUCCUGUCUCUGUCAAUAGAUCGAGGACAUAUUUUCUUUGAGACAAGAAAAUGCCCUUCUUACUUCUCAUAACUUUAAUACCCAAGGAAUACUUUAACAAUCCCAAGUC